UGUGCCCUAAAUACCCGGGUAGUCCCAGCCGUAAACGAUGCGAGCUAGGUGAUUCGAUCGCAGUUCGCGAUCGAAGUGUCGCAGGGAAGCCGUUAGGCUCGCCGCCUGGGGAGUACGGUCGCAAGGCUGAAACGAAGGAAGAAU
rnacentral:rRNA from 1 species